AAAGACGAUGUAUAGGGGCUGACGCCUGCCCAAUGCCAGAACGUUAAGGAAGCCGGUUAGCCCGGGGUUCGCCCCGUGGCGAAGCUGGCGACCGAAGCGCUGGUCAAUGGCGGCCGUAACUAUAGAAAGGACCCCGCGUGCACCGAUUAUGGUGUGAGCGGACGUUGUAGUUACGUAAAUAAACCUGGCUAUAUGCUGGAAACUCCGGUUAGUAUCCGGCGCUACUCGUUCCUAAGAGGAACAGUAACAACGCGACCGGUGCGGACGAUCAGCAGGGAAGUCUUCGUGACCCCUCAGAGACUAUACGCCAGGCACCGACGAAGGUGAUGAUAUAGUCCGACCUCACAGGCGACUGUGAGAGCUGGCCAGAGAUGAGCCAGCCACUUCGGCCGACCGGCUGAAGUAGUAACAAAAGUGAACGGUCCUAAGGUAGAUAAUCGCUGCCCUCCACGUUGGUAACAGCGUGGUGAGCAUCUGGCUAUAUGCUGGAAUACCCGGGGAAUCCGGCGGUACUCGUCCGUACAAUAGAGUAUGGGCAGUGACAAACCGACCGGUGCGGGCAAUCAGCAGGAAAGACUGGUCAGACUUGGCUGGGUUAUUGGUUUUGUGGACGGAGAAGGAUGCUUCUCCAUCGGCUUUGUCCGGCAACAAGAUGGAGUAGGUCGUAAAGGCUACAGAACCGGCUAUCAGGUGGCGCACGAGUUCGCAGUAACGCAAGGCGCGAAGAGCGUCGGAAGCUUACACGAACUGCGCGACUUCUUUGGUGUCGGACAGGUGUUGAUCAACACCCGGAAUGACAACCACAAGGAGCACCUGUAUCGUUUUGUCGUGCGAAAGCGCAAGGAUUUGCUGGCGACGGUUAUUCCGUUCUUCCGGCAGUACCCGAUGCACACCUCGAAGCAGCAAGACUUCGAGAAAUUUGCACGUUGUGUGGAGUUGAUCGAGAGCGGCUCGCAUCUGACCCGACCAGGGUUGAUCGAGAUCGCAGAGAUCGCCCAGACGAUGAACCGCCAAAAACCCAGACACGAGUUGAUCAGAAUCCUCAGAGACCAUACGCCAGACAUCCGAGACAUCGGACGAUGAUAUGGUCCCAUCUGCAUGGCGACAUGCAGGAGCGGCAUCCAAGGAGUGCCGUUCGUUUACAGUAUUAGUUGUACGUAAAGUAACUAAUUGUAAACAAGGCGAUAAGCGAAAUUCCUUGUCGGGUAAGUUCCGACCUGCACGAAAGGCGUAACGAUCUGGGCGCUGUCUCGACCAUAGGCUCGGUGAAAUUGUAGUCUCGGUGAAGAUGCCGAGUACCCGCGGAAAGACGGAAAGACCCCGUGAACCUUUACUAUACCCUGGCAUUGGAUGCUGACACACCUUGUGCAGGAUAGGAGGGAGGCUAUGAAGCCGGGACGCCAGUCUCGGUGGAGCCGUCCUUGAGAUACCUCCCUCGGUGUGUUGGUGUUCUAACCCUACGCCGUGAUCCGGGUGGGGAACAGUGUCAGGCGGGUAGUUUGACUGGGGCGGUCGCCUCCCAAAGAGUAACGGAGGCGCCCAAAGGUUCCCUCAGCACGGUCGGAAAUCGUGCGCAGAGUGUAAACGCACAAGGGAGCUUGACUGUGAGACCGACAGGUCGAGCAGGGACGAAAGUCGGGGUUAGUGAUCCGGCGGUAACGAGUGGAAGUGCCGUCGCUCAACGGAUAAAAGGUACUCCGGGGAUAACAGGCUUAUAGCCGCCAAGAGUUCACAUCGACGCGGCUGUUUGGCACCUCGAUGUCGGCUCGUCGCAUCCUGGGGCCGGAGUAGGUCCCAAGGGUUGGGCUGUUCGCCCAUUAAAGCGGUACGCGAGCUGGG
rnacentral:rRNA from 1 species